rnacentral:rRNA from 1 species
GAUGAACGCUGGCGGCGUGCUUAACACAUGCAAGUCGAACGAUGAAGCCCAGCUUGCUGGGUGGAUUAGUGGCGAACGGGUGAGUAACACGUGAGUAACCUGCCCUUUACUCUGGGAUAAGCGCUGUAAACGGCGUCUAAUACCGGAUACGAGCUUCCACCGCAUGGUGUGUUGCUGGAAAGAAUUUCGUUCAAGGAUGGACUCGCGGCCUAUCAGGUAGUUGGUGAAGUAACGGCUCACCAAGCCGACGAAGGGUAGCCGGCCUGAGAGGGUGACCGGCAAAAAAGGGAAUGAAAAAAGGACAAGACGACAACGGGAGGCAGAAGUGGGGAAUAGUGAACAAUGGGAGCAAGACUGAUGCAGAAACGACGCGUGAGGGACGAAGGCCUGCGGGUCGUAAACCUCUUUUAGCAGGGAAGAAGCGAAAGUGACGGUACCUGCAGAAAAAGCACCGGCUAACUACGUG